rnacentral:misc_RNA from 1 species
GAAAUGCGAUAACUAAUGUGAAUUGCAGAAUUCAGUGAAUCAUCGAAUCUUUGAACGCACCUUGCGCUCCUUGGUAUUCCUUGGAGCAUGCCUGUUUGAGUAUCAUGAAAUCUUCAAAGUAAAUCUUUUGUUAACUCAAUUGGUUUCUACUUUGGUAUUGGAGGUCUUUGCAGCUUCACACCUGCUCCUCUUUGUUCAUUAGCUGGAUCUCAGUGUUAUGCUUGGUUCCACUCGGCGUGAUAAGUUAUCUAUCGCUGAGGACACUGUAAAAGGUGGCCAAGGUAAAUGCAGAUGAACCGCUUCUAAUAGUCCAUUGACUUGGACAAUACUUUUAUGAUCUGAUCUCAGAUCAGGUAGGACUACCCGCUGAACUUAAGC